UCAAAGAAUUCAUUCAUUAUUGGUUUAUAGGAACCUAAUUUUUUUUAAUUUGAUAUGAAUUUAUUAGUUAUGGACUCUUAUUGUUUUUAUGAUAUUAUUCGAUAAAUUUUUAAAUGUUUGAAAGCUCAUUUCGAUUUUUAAGAUAUGAGUAUAGUGGCACUCAAAUCUCAGGAUCUGGUCGUCACAGCGUGUCUGGCCACUUCUGCCUUUCUAAGCUCCAGUUCCUCAAUCAUAAACACUCUAGGCUUGACCUUACUAUUGAAGGCUUAGCUGUUUUGUAUAAGAUGAUUCAUGAUAACUCGACGGAUCGCACGACCCUCGUGCCGACGAUGCAUCAUUCAAAUUUCUACCCUAUCAACUUUCGAUGGUAGGAUAGUGGCGUACUAUGGUAGUCGGUGACGGAGAAUUAGGGUUCGAUUCUGGAGAGGGAGCCUGAGAAAUGGCUACCACAUCCAAGGAAGGCAGUAGGCGCGCAAAUUACCCAAUCCUGACACGAGGAGGUAGUGACAA
rnacentral:rRNA from 1 species